GUGAGGGGCCGAAGGGCGGGACCAAAGUGGCGCGUGGGGUGGUUCUACAGCUCUUUCUGCGGCCUGACUCCAAUCGACUUCGUCCGGAGUGGCGGCUGCUGGCAUGCUGGCCGCACGUCGGGGACACGUCCCUAAGUGGUGCUCCUUGAAGCACGGGACCGAAAGUCAGACUCUGAGGAACAUAAUUGAAGGCUGGAGGGACCUUAAGAGUUAGGCCAGCCUUUGAGGCAUUGAAACCCUUAGGGCACCAAGUAACGCUUGCGCACAGUCUAGUGUAGGAACUUUUUCCCUUGUGAAUGAGCCCGGUCUUCCCUGGACUGCGCUGUCUGUUCCCGUAGAACGCGAACGAGAGCUUUCAUAGCUCCUGGCAACUACCAUUCUAUCCCUAUAAAUUGGACUACUCUACCUCAUGCUGCACGCCCAGUGUGGAGCUUUAACUCACAACCCUGAGGUCAAGAGUUG